GGAGAGAGAAGAAACAGAGAUACUAGCUUACAAGUAGCACGCAUUGGACAGGAGACACAUCGUCAUACCUCAGGUGGAAAAGUCCUUCUAAAGGAGAAGAUCUUACAGCACUGAAUCUCUUUACAGUGAAUAUCUACUCACCAUUGGGCCGUACUGUACUACUAUAGUGAGAUGCUAUAACCUGAGCACUCCGUAUAAAAGUUUUUGGCUCUAGGUGCUCUGAGAUCAAACCUGCUCUUCCUUGGACAGAGGAAGUCAUUCCUUUCAAACAGCCAAUCAGCUAUAGUGUGAUGAUGUCCAGCCUGGCACUGCCCUCCAGGCCAAUCUCUCCCUGCUACCUCUGCCACUCCUGGAUCGGUCUAAAAGCGGUUUCUCUGUCUGACAACUCUCCACUCCUAAAGAUUGUCCGCUUCGUGGGCGUAGGCGUGAACCUAUUCAAGUCAAUAUGGAGAGCUGCGAAACGCCUGUCUGCAGAUGAAGAGGUCCCAGUAAAUGUCCCAAGAGACUGCUGGCACAUGCUUGUAUGCCAUGGGUUGUAUGUGUACUUACUGUAUGUUAGCAAAUGUUGUACACAAUGUAGGCUACAAACGUAUUACAACUGUAUCAUGCCAAUCCUUCUCCUGGAGGUAUGCUGGGUGUGCAGGCGUCUGUUCCAGCCCAGCACUAACACACCUGAUUCAACUUAGCAAACCUAAUGAGUUGAUAAUACUG